GCGAUGAGCUGAAUUGUGUAAGCCGGAGAACAUGCGGAUUCCCGCACACAUGAAUGUGGCAUGUGGUUCUUCGCCUCAAUACGCAAGGAGACGACUGGUUUACCAGCGUC
rnacentral:sRNA from 1 species